GUGGGGAAUCUUCCGCAAUGGACGAAAGUCUGACGGAGCAACGCCGCGUGAGUGAUGAAGGUCUUCGGAUUGUAAAGCUCUGUUAAUCGGGACGAAAGAGCCUAGUGUGAAUAAUGCUAGGAAGUGACGGUACCGGAAUAGAAAGCCACGGCUAACUACGUGCCAGCAGCCGCGGUAAUACGUAGGUGGCAAGCGUUGUCCGGAAUUAUUGGGCGUAAAGCGCGCGCAGGCGGAUCUGCCAGUCUGCCUUAAAAGUUCGGGGCUUAACCCCGUGAUGUGAUGGAAACUACAGAUCUAGAGUAUCGGAGAGGAAAGUGGAAUUCCUAGUGUAGCGGUGAAAUGCGUAGAUAUUAGGAAGAACACCAGUGGCGAAGGCGACUUUCUGGACGAAAACUGACGCUGAGGCGCGAAAGCCAGGGGAGCGAACGGGAUUAGAUACCCGGGUAGUCC
rnacentral:rRNA from 1 species